rnacentral:rRNA from 1 species
AUUGAACGCUGGCGGCAGGCCUAACACAUGCAAGUCGAGCGGAUGAAGGGAGCUUGCUCCUGGAUUCAGCGGCGGCCGGGUGAGUAAUGCCUAGGAAUCUGCCUGGUAGUGGGGGAUAACGUCCGGAAACGGGCGCUAAUACCGCCUACGUCCUGAGGGAGAAAGUGGGGGAUCUUCGGACCUCACGCUAUCAGAUGAGCCUAGGUCGGAUUAGCUAGUUGGUGGGGUAAAGGCCUACCAAGGCGACGAUCCGUAACUGGUCUGAGAGGAUGAUCAGUCACACUGGAACUGAGACACGGUCCAGACUCCUACGGGAGGCAGCAGUGGGGAAUAUUGGACAAUGGGCGAAAGCCUGAUCCAGCAAUGCCGCGUGUGUGAAGAAGGUCUUCGGAUUGUAAAGCACUUUAAGUUGGGAGGAAGGGCAGUAAGUCAAUACCUUGCUGUUUUGACGUUACCAACAGAAUAAGCACCGGCUAACUUCGUG